UGUGGGAGCGGGCUGGCCCGCGAUGCUGGCGACACGGUUUAAAUUGAAAUCGCGUUGAUGCCAUCGCGGGCCAGCCCGCUUCCACA
rnacentral:misc_RNA from 1 species